UCGGGCUUAGGUGAUAACGUGAGAGAAGCCAGAAGACCUGAGAAACAAGGCUCAUGUUUUCUUUCUGCCUGUGUUUUCCAAAUAAACCUUCCAUUCUGUGCACAUUUCUCACUUUGGAGUUCUAUUUCAGAGCUAACACUUCUCCCUGUACUGCAGAACACCACCAGGAAACGAGCACUGUGGUUCAUCUCUGCCUGCUUUCUGCUUCUCUAGCUCCUGCUCAUCCUGGAGCCAAUAUGGUUUCACUGCAUCUUGAUCACCCUGCCCAGGGCGGUUGUCAAGACAGCAAUAGCCUUGAGGAUCCAGAAGGAGGCAGGCGUGCACAGGGAUUUCAAUACUCACUUUACAAAUCACAGUGAAUGACUGGAUGUCUAAUGAACACACGCAUUUGUAGUUAAGAUGAUUUUAAAUACCUGACAUGCUGAAAUCUACAAGUGCGCUCAAGAAGAAAUUGGAGCUUCAUAAAGUUUAUGAAAUGUAUAACUUGGUAUAUAACUUUCCAUGUUUAAUGAUAAAGGCAAUCUGUAUUUCUCAUUCUUCCCACCCCCACAGUGUAAAUCUUGGCCCUCUUCACAUAAUCUCCUAGCUGA